rnacentral:lncRNA from 1 species
UCAGCAUAAGUACGUCCAUUUGGCGGCAGUCAUGAUAUCAGCUCCAUGAGCUUCAAGCUGAUUCAGUAUGUUCUCGAACAUCAAUAUGGGUGACUCUCGCCGUUUGUUCCCUGGAAUUCCCUCCAAAAUGAUAUUACUCCACAUAAUAUAUCUUAUUUCUCAGGCGCACGGAUUCCUGAUACUGAAUGAAGAGGACGUGGUGAUUCUACCCCAUAUUUACGCCCCCUUAAGCCCACUUCUGUGCCACCAAGCAAGAGCUAUGAUGAAUUACUAGAUAAACUGACAGUCGUAGAAACUAACCGAAAAGCUGCCUUGAAGAAGGCAGUAGGUGAGGCCACUAGGUAUAAAAACAACGUUACGCUUAAAUUUCUGGAGGCUACAAAGCAGGGGGAUGAGGCACUCGUGAACAUACGGCAAUUUUUUGAUGCUGGGAGGAUCUAUUUCGACUUCGGGAGAGGAAAAUAUAAGUUUGAGCACGAGCAAAUUGAUGCAUUCAAGAAAACCGCACUCUUGCGAGAGAAGGACUACUUCAGUAAUCAAGUGGAUAAGGUAUCCACUACCCAUGCUACUAUAGAGUCUGAAAAGAGGGAUCUACCUAAAGAGGAGCUGGGCAAACUGCAACCACUGUUCGACACCUUCGAUCAGAGUUACGAAGCUCUGAAUCCACUAGUGACACAAUUUCUUAUCAAUAUGAAAGAGGACAUAAAAUUGAGACCCGGGUAAUAUUGGGUACUCCGUUUCGAUCCAUGACAAAAAAAAUCAAUGUACACUUUUAUCAAGACCUAUUUUUAAUCAAGAUUCCACCAUAUAAAACCAACAUUUUCAACCAAAAUUUUCGUAUCAAUAUAGAAGAGGACCAAAAAUAAAACCCGGGUGAUGUUGGGUAGUCACAUUGCGAUUUAUGACCAGAAAUAUGAAUGUACAGUUCUAUAAAGACCUAUUUUUUUUACCAAGAUCCCGCAAUAUAAAACCAACAUUUUAAAUAAAGAUUGCGCCCUACGGGCUAUAAUAUUUGCAGUCCGAAAUCGAAAAAUUAUUUUAGAAAUCGAGUAAAAACUCACUUGCCUCAUUCUAAUUGAAUGUUACUGUAAUUUCUGCGUAUAAAAGACUAACAAAUAUACGAGUAUACUUUUCUUUAUAAAAAAAAAGGUACUGUCUUCAUUUAUGAUUUUCCUCGGUUAAAGUAUCCAUAUAGUCUACGACAAAAUGUCCGAGGGGUGAAGGAAUUCCAAUGACGGAGGCGGGUGGUUGUAAUGGGUCAGUUGCGCUGGUCACAGAAUCGUAUUUUGAUGUUCAGUUCUUGUAGAUCAGCUAUAAAUAGUAACAAGCUGGUUUUUGCAAUCGCAGUGCGAUAGCAAUACUCGGCAUGGGAACUUGAGAAAUGUUUGAUAAAUCACUUAGCAUUGGGUAUACCAUUUGGACGUAUUUAUGCGAAAAGGAGAUAUGUGCAAGUGGAAAGAUGGGGUGUCCUCGUUAGUUGGGUCAUAAGAAACAAUGUAAAAGUGGAUAUAGUUCCUUUUGAGAAAAUUGAAAAGCGAGAUUUUCAAUUAAAUCAAAAGGAGCUAAGCGCCAAAAUAUGUUAACUCAUGAGCCGUGGGCAUGCGGCAAGAGCCUUGUGGACAGGGCUCAUGAGUUAAUGCGGACGCACGCGGACCGGGGCGACCGAGGCAGGCGGCUUUGUUGCCGCUGACCUCACUGGCGCUUUUUAUUUCCCAUUCAUUUUUGGCCCGACGACUAACGAGCACACCCCAUCUUUCCACUUCCACAUAUUUCCUUUUCGCAUAAAUACGUCCAUUUUUAUGAUGGAUACCUGUAGGAUUGAACGGGUCAAAAAAAUACCAAAAAUAAAUGAGUGUAGCCAAAAGUGAUAACUUGCCGAGGGACCAAAAAUGUGAAGCGUGAUGACAGAAAAUAUGAUGAGAAAAGAUAGAGAGAGUUGAAUGCAAAAAGAGAGAAGAGAGGAGUUUGGAUGAGGAUAAAUGAGAGACAAGUGAAAAAAGCCACGGCGAGCCCAAAUUGCCUUGGCUUGGAAAUCUUUGAGGUGAGUAAGAAAAGAUUCGAAAGGAGACUAAUUUUUAGUGAUCAGAAGGAUCCUAUUCUAGAUGAUUUAGUUAUACCUGGCUCAGAGUGAGCCGGCUACUAUCCUUGGAAAGGGACCUGAAGGGCCACCAGGCACGUAGUGUGCCGGCUUCUGCUUACAAUUAGCGCAGGAAAGUCAGAAGGACUUGCAAUUUUGAAUACCACUCUGUGCUAUUGCACUUAUUUUUAUUCCGGAUUCAUAAAUGAAUCGGCUUCUCCGAAUGGAGGAUUUUAGACAAACAUGAAUUUAGGCUUGAUCGGACGGCGCAGCACUUGGAAAUGAAUUCUUGGAGCGCAGCGUCCCAGUAUUUAUACCGGUCGCGUGAGAGAGCGAUGCCGCGAGCUUGGCUGUGAUUGGUCAACGCGGGCGCUGUGUGAGGAAUUGGCGGGAGCACCGCUAUGCGAGUUUGAACUUGGCGGGCGCUGUGAGAGAGUAAGUUUGAAUUACGCGCCCGCGCGCGGCUCGUGAUUGGUGCGCUGCCUCGCGUUCAUUCUGAGGCUGGGGCCAAUGGAAUUCAGCGGAGCUUAUUGCUCCCGGGUUCAUCACUGUGAUUGGAUUCCUGAAGAUUAUUAUUUUGUAGGUGAAACCGAACAAUACCUAUUGGGAUCUGCUUUUGAUUUAGCAAAAGUCAAACAUUUACCUAUGGCUGAUAAAAUUGCAGAAGUUGUUCCUUUUCUGCGGCAUGACGGCGAUUUUUUUUAUUUUCUUCUGUUAUUUAUUUUUUUCUAUUUUUCAAAGCUUCAUUGAUUUACUGUUCCGAUCUGAUGAUACCACUUUAUUGUCAAAGCAAAAACGCGAGGAACCUCUGAGGGAAGACAAACUGCUGUACUGCCAGUAUUUUUAAUAAUUUGACUUAAUUUUUAUUUAAUAGUAUUGCUGUAUCGACUUUGCAUGUACAUUGUCAUUCAAAGUUUGUUGAACUGUUUUCCGUUUGACGCUAUUUUUAGGAAGUCAUUGUUUUUUUUUUUAUUUUGAAAGAAAUCUGGGCCUUAUCAUAAAGUAUUUGAAUUUUCUUGUCUUUCUUUCUUUCCUUUUUCAUUUUUCGUAUUUAAUUUUUUCGGAUGUGUGUUUGUGUCA